rnacentral:miRNA from 1 species
UAGGGUGACCACCUGUCCUGGUUUGCCUGGGACUGAGGUGCUCUCCAGGGAAGCAGGACUCUCAAUACUA